CAUUACAGAGUUCAUGCCCUUACGGGUAGAUCUCCCACCCUUGAAAUACAUACCUUUGUUGCUUUGGCGGGCCGCGGCCCUCCGCUACCGGCUCCGGCUGGUAUGUGCCCGCCAGAGGACCCAACUCUUGUUUUUAGUGAUGUCUGAGUACUAUAUAAUAGUUAAAACUUUCAACAACGGAUCUCUUGGUUCUGGCAUCGAUGAAGAACGCAGCGAAAUGCGAUAAGUAAUGUGAAUUGCAGAAUUCAGUGAAUCAUCGAAUCUUUGAACGCACAUUGCGCCCUUUGGUAUUCCGAGGGGCAUGCCUGUUCGAGCGUCAUUUUACCGAUCAAGCCUGGCUUGGUAUUGAGUCCCGCCUUCCAGCGGCCUCUAAACUCAGUGGCGGUGCCGUUCGGCUCUCAGCGUAGUAAUUUUAUCCCGCUACAGGGUCUCGCGGUUGCUUGCCAUAACCCCAACUUCUUAAGGUUGACCUCGGAUCAGGUAGGGAUACCC
rnacentral:rRNA from 1 species